rnacentral:lncRNA from 1 species
UGUGGAAUGAAUAGAUCAAUAAGAGAACUCAUUUAGUUUAUUUUAUUAUGCUAAACAUAGUUGCAAACUUGUAGUCAGAGAUGAUGUUUUAUUCUGUUGUGGUCAUGUUUAUUUUAGCAGUACUCUAGUCAUUGUGUUAUUACUUUGGUUGAGACAUAUAUUAGAAGUUAAUGAAGGUUUGAGUUCUUAUAUGUGAUGAUGAAAUAUAUACUCAUGGCACAAUUAUUUUGUAGCAACAACUAAAUUUCAGGCUACAAAACGAAAUUAAAAAGGCGCUAGCCAAAAUGCUCUCGUUGCAACAAACCACUACCCAACCACCGUUUGUUGUUGCAAUAUACAUUAUUGGUACAAAUAUUAUGUGUUGAUAUAGGAUGUGUCUACCACCAACAAUGACUCGUUGCAUUUUUCAUCUAUUACCACCAACAAUGAUUUGUUGCAUUUUUCAUCUAUUACCACAAACAAUGAUUUGUUGCAUUACCUUUUAU